rnacentral:rRNA from 1 species
CAGCACCUCAAGUGGUCAGGAUGAUUAUUGGGCCUAAAGCAUCCGUAGCCGGCGCUGUAAGUUUUCGGUUAAAUCUGUACGCUCAACGUACAGGCUGCCGGGAAUACUGCAGAGCCAGGGAGUGGGAGAGGUAGACGGUACUCGGUAGGAAGGGGUAAAAUCCUUUGAUCUAUUGAUGACCACCUGUGGCGAAGGCGGUCUACCAGAACACGUCCGACGGUGAGGGAUGAAAGCUGGGGGAGCAAACCGGAUUAGAUACCCGAGUAGUCC